rnacentral:rRNA from 1 species
AUGGGCGCAAGCCUGAUNCAGCCAUGCCGCGUGUGUGAAGAAGGCCUUCGGGUUGUAAAGCACUUUNAGUCCGGGAGGAAGGCGNNUNGGUUAAUACCUNGNGCNAUUGACGUUACCNNCAGAAUAAGCACCGGCUAACUCCGUGCCAGCAGCCGCGGUAAUACGGAGGGUGCAAGCGUUAAUCGGAAUUACUGGGCGUAAAGCGCGCGCAGGCGGUUUGUUAAGUCAGAUGUGAAAUCCCCGGGCUCAACCUGGGAACUGCAUUUGAAACUGNCNGGCUAGAGUCUGGUAGAGGGGGGUNGAAUUCCAGGUGUAGCGGUGAAAUGCGUAGAGAUCUGGAGGAAUACCGGUGGCGAAGGCGGCCCCCUGGACNGAGACUGACGCUCAGGUGCGAAAGCGUGGGGAGCAAA